AAGAAGCCAAAUCAAAAAGCCAAUCUCCAAGCCUCCCAGCCGAACGUCACCCUAUCAGCUGGGAGAGAGAGCGCUGCACGGGAUGACAAGCCGCGCAUAUUUAUCCUCGCGCGCCGAGGGGGAAUUUUCAGAUCGCUUCCCGACCAGCAGCGGAAAGUCAAGCCUGCACCUCGCGUCCAGAGAACCCCCGAGGACCGAAUGCAGACGGAACCCCUAGCCCGCGGCCACCCACCCAAUCGUUGGAGCCUGGCGCCCGGCGCCUCCCGGCCAGCGGCAGUUCCAAGACGGCGGCGCGUCCUGACCUGGAUUCCGCGCAGUCCGGAGCUCCGGGCAGCAGAACUCAGUCUGUCAUUUUCUCAACCCAAAUCAAACAACAGCUUGUGAGAGACGCUUGGGUGAGCGCUGGAAAUUGAGGCUUAAAGAGGUUAAAUAACCAUUCCAAGGCCGCAUGCAGCAACACCGAGGACUGGAAUAAGGUGGAACCAACUGGAGUUUUGCUGAUAAACACAACAGUAUGUGCGACUUCCUGGAUCGCUAGGCCCGUUGAAGAACUGCUCUGGAACAAGGUUGAAUCCUGGGUGUACUCCUAACUGAGCCCUGGGAUCUCAGAUCCGUGAACACUUAUGGGCCUUGAAUUCAGCUAAAGUUAGGGCUGAGACACUGACCCUGCAAGAUUUCAGUAACUUCUAAAGUUGUGGGAUUUCAGGAUAUGUCAACUGUCUCCCGGUACAUAGUUGUAUAUUCUUCGUUG
rnacentral:lncRNA from 1 species